rnacentral:tRNA from 1 species
GCCCGGGUGGCGGAAUUGGUAUACGCGCACGACUUAAAAUCGUGUCUCGCAAGAGAUGUGGGUUCGAUGCCCACCCCGGGCA